GUGCUCAUUUCGGCCGCACAUAUACUAAAAUUGAACCAUACAGAGAAGAUUAGCAUGGCCCCUGCUCAAGGAUGACAUGCUAAUUCGUGAAGCGUUCCAUAUUUUU
ensembl:snRNA U6 U6 spliceosomal RNA